CCCUUAGAUGUUCUGGGCUGCACGCGCGCUACACUGAUGCGAUCAACAAGUUUUUCCUAUGUCGAUAGACACGGGUAAUCUUUUGAACUCGCAUCGUGAUGGGGAUAGAUUAUUGUAAUUAUUAAUCUUCAACGAGGAAUUCCUAGUAGGUGCAAAUCAUCAGUUUGCAUCGAUUACGUCCCUGCCCUUUGUACACACCGCCCGUCGCUGCUACCGAUUGGUUGAGCUGGUGAAUUAUUCGGACUGCCGGCUGAAGGGGUUUCCUCAUCUGCCAGCGGAAAGUCUUGUUAACCCUAUCAACUAGAGGAAGCAGAAGUCGUAACA
rnacentral:rRNA from 1 species